rnacentral:rRNA from 1 species
UACGGGGGGGAGCAAGCGUUGUUCGGAUUUACUGGGCGUAAAGGGCGCGUAGGCGGCCACCGCAAGUCAAUUGUGAAAUCUCCGGGCUUAACCCGGAACGGUCAGCCGAUACUGCAGGGCUAGAGUGCAGAAGGGGCAACUGGAAUUCUCGGUGUAGCGGUGAAAUGCGUAGAUAUCGAGAGGAACACCUGCGGCGAAGGCGGGUUGCUGGGCUGACACUGACGCUGAGGCGCGAAAGCUAGGGGAGCGAACGGG